UUUGCAUGUAUAUAUAAGAAAUAUACGUCUUAUGUGGAAUACUUAAUCAUUCUCUUUAUACAUCGGAAGCAAAAUUUAUAAGAGCUUUCUGAAAGUUGAUUUAUUAUUACCAUCAAACAAAGAGAAGCAUGAAAAAUUAAUGUCAUUUAAAAGUUAUAUUUUGCGCAUUCUAACACUAUAAUUCGUGAUAUAAAAGACAAUGUAAAUUUGAGCUACCUCUACAGCUAUAGUAGUGUAGUCCAACUAGCUACAGUAGUAUAGUCCAACUUUUUCUUUUUUGUACGCGGAAAAUGAUAUAAACCUUAAUAAUUGUAUUAUUUCAACGCUGGGAGAAUAAAGCUGUCGAGAUAGGACGUGACCCUAGUGUAAACGCCAGGAUAUCCAGGUAUAGCGCAGUUAUAACCAAAGGACACAAUACCUAUCUGAUAGUAGAUGAAUUGCUGUGGUAUCAUCAGUGGUCCUCCGCUGUCAGCCUGAAAUGAUCGUUAAAUUUUUAAUCAUAGUUACUGAAAUAUUUCAAUCGAAUUG
rnacentral:misc_RNA from 1 species